rnacentral:lncRNA from 1 species
AGAUGGGGUCUUCUUUUGUUGCCCAGGCUGGCCGCAAAUUCCUGGGCUCAAGUGAUCCUCCCACCUUGUCCUUGUAGAGAUGGGAUUUAGUUAUGUCGUCCAGGCUGAUCUCAAACUCCUGGGCUAAAUCGAGGUCUCCCUCUGUUGUCCAAGGCUGGAGUGUAGUAGUGCUAUCACAGCUG